GCGAACGCUGGCGGCAGGCUUAACACCUGCAAGUCGAGCGGGCCCUUCGGGGUCAGCGGCGGACGGGUGAGUAACGCGUGGGAACGUGCCUUCUGGUCUGGAAUAACCCUGGGAAACUAGGGCUAAUACCGGAUACGCCCUUUUGGGGAAAGGUUUACUGCCGGAAGAUCGGCCCGCGUCUGAUUAGCUAGUUGGUGGGGUAACGGCCUACCAAGGCGACGAUCAGUAGCUGGUCUGAGAGGAGGGUCAGCCACACUGGGACUGAGACACGGCCCAGACUCCUACGGGAGGCAGCGGGGGGGAGUAUUGGACAAGGGGCGCGAGUCUGAUGCAGCCAUGCCGCGUGAGAGAUGAAGGCCUUAGGGUUGUAAAGCCCUUUUAUCCGGGACGAUAAUGACGGUACCGGAGGAAUAAGCCCCGGCUAACUUCGUG
rnacentral:rRNA from 1 species